rnacentral:rRNA from 1 species
UGGAGGGCAAGUUUGGUGCCAGCAGCCGCGGUAAUUCCAGCUCCAAUAGCGUAUAUUAAAGUUGUUGCAGUUAAAAAGCUCGUAGUUGAAUUUCGGGAUCAGUACGUUGGUCGUGCCUUUGGUAUGUACUGGCCUUGCUGGUUCCUCCCUUUUGGGGAACCGUAAUGUCAUUAAUUUGGGGGUGCGGGGAAACAGGACUGUUACUUUGAAAAACU